rnacentral:rRNA from 1 species
UACGUAGGGUGCAAGCGUUAUCCGGAAUUAUUGGGCGUAAAGAGCUCGUAGGCGGUUUGUUGCGUCUGCUGUGAAAACCCGAGGCUCAACCUCGGGCCUGCAGUGGGUACGGGCAGACUAGAGUGCGGUAGGGGAGAUUGGAAUUCCUGGUGUAGCAGUGGAAUGCGCAGAUAUCAGGAGGAACACCGAUGGCGAAGGCAGAUCUCUGGGCCGUAACUGACGCUGAGGAGCGAAAGCGUGGGGAGCGAACAGG